CCUACGGGUGGCAGCAGUCGAGAAUCAUUCACAAUGGGGGAAACCCUGAUGGUGCGACGCCGCGUGGGGGAAUGAAGGUCUUCGGAUUGUAAACCCCUGUCAUGUGGGAGCAAAUUAAAAAGAUAGUACCACAAGAGGAAGAGACGGCUAACUCUGUGCCAGCAGCCGCGGUAAUACAGAGGUCUCAAGCGUUGUUCGGAAUCACUGGGCGUAAAGGGUGCGUAGGCUGUUUCGUAAGUCGUGUGUGAAAGGCGCGGGCUCAACCCGCGGACGGCACAUGAUACUGCGAGACUAGAGUAAUGGAGGGGGAACCGGAAUUCUCGGUGUAGCAGUGAAAUGCGUAGAUAUCGAGAGGAACACUCGUGGCGAAGGCGGGUUCCUGGACAUUAACUGACGCUGAGGCACGAAGGCCAGGGGAGCGAAAGGGAUUAGAUAUCCCAGUAGUC
rnacentral:rRNA from 1 species